AAAGAGAGUCCACAUGGUGGUUUGGCCUAUCCCCUCACCACAAAGGACAUCUGCAAGGGUGGUGACAUUUUCAGGAAGCCAGAAACGCAAAAACCCGCUUUCGCGGGUUUCU
rnacentral:misc_RNA from 1 species